rnacentral:rRNA from 1 species
UACGGAGGGUGCGAGCGUUGAUCGGAAUCACUGGGCGUAAAGCGCACGUAGGCGGCUUGGUAAGUCACAUGUGAAAGCCCUCGGCUCAACCGGGGAACUGCGUGUGAUACUGCCUUGCUUGAGUCCUGGAGAGGGUGGCGGAAUUGGUGGUGUAGGGGUAAAAUCCGUAGAGAUCACCAGGAAUACCCAUUGCGAAGGCAGCCCCCUGGGCCUGUACUGACGCUCAUGCACGAAAGCGUGGGGAGCAAAC